CUAGAAAAGACAAAAAACAAAAUAAAGAAAAAAAUAAAACCCCAAACAAACAACCCUGCCCCCUCCCCGCCCUUUUGGAGUUUACAUUUUAGCUGGGGGAGGACAGACAAUAAACAAGUAAAAUACACAACACUGGAUGGAGAGGAAUUCUGUGGAGGAAAGUAAUUCAGGAAAUGGAGAAAAGGGACUGUGAGGGUUGUUAUUGAAAUGCAGUGGCCAGAAAAAAAACCCCAUGGGUACGUUGAUAAUUGAGCAAAGACCUGAAGGAGUGAAGGCACUGAGCCUGGCCAGGGUAAGGAAAGGCAGGAUAGACCAAGAAGUGUGAAGCAGGGCCUGGAGACAACAGUUUGAGGAAGAGUCAGGAGAACAUGGGGCUGGAACAGAGCAAGCAAGGGGAAGAGUGAUGCUGCCAGAGGCAUAAUGGGGCCCUUUGAGGGGCCCUGUGGGCUAUGAAAAGGUCUUACAGCUUUACUCUGCAUGAGAUGGGAAUCCACUGGAGAUAGAUGACAGACAGAGGGGAAGGUUUUUCAGACAGUGAGGAAGAUGUCUGCUCAGUCUUCAGUAAGCACAUAAAUCCUAAACUAAAGGGAAGCAUUUCCAGCCACAGGCACUGAGUAUUUAAGGUCUCUUGGAAUUUCCUGAGUGAAAUCCUAAAUAAAACCACUGCAACUUAAAGAUACAUAUUUUUUUGUUUUUAGAAUGUCUUCUGUGACAAAUCCACUCACAGGAUUUCUAAGCUGCCCUUGAUUCCUAAAGAUGUAUUUUAGAACCCAUCCUUUGCCCCCAUUAAAGAUCUGUUUUGGAGUUCCCGACACAGCUCAGUGGAAACGAAUCUGACUAGCAUCGAUGCGGAUGCAGGUUCGAUCCCUGGGCUCGCUCAGUGGGUUAGGGAUCUGGCAUUGGUGUGAGCUGUGGCCUAGGUUGCAGAUGGGGCUUAGAUCGGGUGUUGCCCCUGUGGCAUAGACCAGUGGCUAUGGCUCCUGGGAACCUCCAUAUACAGCAUGCGUGGCUCUAAAAAGACAAAAAAAAAAAAAAAAAAUCUGUUUUGAUAACCCCAUUGCUAAAGUUCUGUCUGAAGUGUCUACUGAAAUGACAAUUUUGGACCCAUAAAUGCAGUGUGUGUGCUGUCUGGGGAAGGUGAACUAAACGAACUCAGCUGAGGCCUGAGUGACAAGGUAUCCAGCUGGGAGGGUGAAAGAGAGGGGAGAGGAAGAGAGCAGCUGGGAAUGCAGAUUGAGGUGGGCAGGCGAGACAAUGGCCUGUCCUGAUAAGCACCUUUCCACAAAGGUCAUCAGUCAGUCAUGGAGACUCAGCCUGGACACCUUGGCCUUUGUGUAAGAUGAAGUUUCAUUCUCUAGAGAAGCCAGUGGGACCUCUGAAAGGAAGGUUAAAAAUUACUGUGUCAGUGAGCAAGAUGAUCAAGAAAAAGAAAUAGGUCACUUGCCAUCUACAUCCAAAUACUUAUUUAUUCCUACAGAAGCAUCCCUCUUCUGUUUCCCUUUAAUAUUCCUUUAAUAUUAAUCUCUCAAUACUAGGAAGACAUUCCCAAGCUACCAACUCCAGGGUCUAGGCACUUUUCCAAGGUGGAGGAGGGAGAGGACCUCCAGAGCCUCAGCUCUUGAAGGCAAUCCUGAAGAGUGGGUGGGUGGCUGGACUUUUCAGAGACCACCGCAAAAAUUAUCUGAAAGUUAUAUCUCUUCAGGCUUUGAUAUUGUUUGUGAUGUCUCUGCUUAUGCCAUCUUCUGGGCAUUUGUUCUAGGAAAAAAAAAAAGUUCUUAAUGAUGCUUGCAGCAAAUGCUUCUUGAUUUCCAAUGAAUAUUCAUUCACUGGACACUUGGCCACCCACACAGAAGCCAAGAAGACCCUCAGAAGGGAACCACUGAGAGCUAGGACUGUGGGGUCCUGGGCUUGAUGCUGAGAAGUGAUUGCGUGGAUGUGUGCUUGUUCAAGUCCACGCCUGCAUUUCUUCCGGGUCCAGCUCCCAAUUCUAGUUGACUUUUUACAAUUGCUCAUUUGGCCACAGAGAACCAGAAUUCACAGGCCUCCUGGACAAGCUUUUGUUCCUAGGACCAGUGGGAAUGAGAACAAAUGUCACUCACUCAGUGACUUUUUUCAUCAAAGUACUUUCUAAAUAUGAACUAAUUCUUCUUGGAAGACGCACGUUAAGCAUUGUUAGCCCCACUUUCUAGAUGGGUGUGCCCAGAUUUCAUUAUUCCGAGAUAGAUUUUGAAUCCACGAUAAGUGGACUUAGCAUUAUAGUCAAUCGAAGAUGAAAAGACCUAUUAGGUCCCCAGGAUUGCCCCUCCCUCUCCACCUCCGCACAACCAGGGCAGGAAGCUCCCUGCAAUCUACUUUCUAGUGCUUUGGCCAGGCUUGGUUUAAAGGUCCCAGGGGAACCUCCCUCUAAGUCUAACCUUAGAGAAAGAAUCUCCUUCUAAAAGCUGCUUUUGUGUUCUCAGUGCCCUGACCACCCCCCUCUGCUGAAAGGCUCUUGGAAAGUGAAAGGAAUAUGAUUGGAAGUCUUUUUUCCUUUCUCUUUUAGGAGAACUGCAAAUUCCAAGAGUCACAUGUGCAUCUUUUCCUUUCAGAGUAGAUUUUUAUGUGCCUUUCUAGGUUUGCUAAGAGACAUACAGGACUUUGAGUUACAGUUGGGACAUGAGCUCAUGAAAUUAGUAUUAACUGCUUUAACCCGUGGGUGCUCGUGUUUAUGGAAUAAGCAAGUCAUAAUCGCUGACCACAGCCAUUAAAAUCUGAUGUGAGUCAACUUCAAGUACAAAGACUUUCUAUAAGCCAAGCCUCUUGAAGCAGAAAAGAUCACAAUUUAAUAUAACGAGAAUAAUUAAUAAGGAGUGUGCCAGUGACCUUGAAUAUUAAUAUUGUUUCCUUUUCCUGUAAACAAACCGGGCUAUUUUAUUAUUAUUUUAGUGUGUAAUUUGGCAUAAACACUCCUUUUCACAUAAUUUCCCCAGGUGACUUUUGUCUCCUUGGCAAUUUCCGGCUUUAAUAAAGAAAACCUAAUUAAGAAGGAGCUGUUGAUUGGUUUGCUAGUGUAAUUAACACAGGUGAUGCUAAUGAGUUUCUAUGAAACCGAUGGUUUAUGGGAAAAAUAAACAGACCGCUCUUGCAUAUGGGCCCAACUGAUAUCUACAUUCGGGAAGAAAUGACGAUUUCCAAGUCUCCUGUGAGUGGUUUGUGGGCAUGGAACAGGCUAGGGGUCUAAUCUGAGCUGCAGCCACUGGCCUACGCCAGAGCCACAGCAACACGGGAUCCGAGCCGCGUCUGCAACCUACACCACAGCUCACGGCAACGCCGGAUCAUUAACCCACUGAGCCAGGGCAGGGACCGAACCCGCAACCUCAUGGUUCCUAGUCGGAUUUGUUAACCACUGCGCCACGAUGGGAACUCCAAAUAAGUAGUUUUUAUAAGCCUAUGUGAAAAAGGUAGUCAUCAAGUUGGAAGGACAUUUUCCCCCCUCUAUACCUCUGUGGGGGAACUUUUUGAUCAAUAUGGGUCACGCUUGACCAAAAUUAACUUUAUUUUAAAACUGCUCUCCUUUGGAAGUUGCCUCCCUAUGCCCUUUCUGAGGAGGGGGGAUUGGGAAUAGGGUUCUAAAAGAAAAGCUGUUUGGCCAAGAAAAUAGGAAAAUUUUUCUCCACAUCAGAGUUGAACAUACGAGCAUGUGCUUUCGGGGAGCCGGCAAAUGUGACUUCCCCUAGAAAUAAUUGUUGUAACUGAAUUAUGAUUACUUUCCUAAACCUGCCCCUCUGCAUUAUUCAAGGUUUCCUGUGUCCUGCCUUGUCCCAGAUCGAGAACAAAAUGAAACUCUCGCCAAUUUCGUCUACCUUUUUUGCUCUAAGCCAAGGCUUUGCAGCACCAUUAGGAUGUAGAUUAUCAUAUUUAAAACCUGUGAUGACACCGUUGUACCCAUCUGAAUGAUUAAUCUGCUCAUUAAAAGAGUGCCGAUGGGCUAGUCUAAUUGGAACAUGGAUCUUCUUAAAGGACGUUACAGGGUCGGGAAUAGGAAAUAUUACUCAUAACAUAAAGUAGGGAUUAAUUAUGCUACUAAAUACUACUGUGUGAAAUUUACAUAUGGGUCUGCUUAGAGACAAGGAUUAGAAGACGUGUAGCGUCCCAUUUUAUAACUUUUAUGUCAACUUUAAGACAGGUGGUGUGUUCCUACUUUAAUCCCAAAUCUUAAAUCAACAUUUACAAAAGCUGUUAUAAACUCAAAUGCCACAGAAGGCUUAGAGGUUGGGAUAAACAUAGAAUUUGCAUCUGCGAAUCACUGAUUUAAACUUAUGGAUUUUUAAAACAAUUGCAAAGAUCCAAAGCUGCAGAGCAGUCUUUACUCUCUGUUAAAUCCUGACUGCUGGAUGAUAUUAAUCUUCCUAAAGGAGAAUGAGAGAUGAAUUGGGAUCUUUGGGAAAAUAUGCAAAUCCAUUGAGCACAAGUUUGCAAGCUUUCUUUUCUUUUUUUUUCUUUUAAAAAUCACCUUUAAACAAAUAGUAUGUAUAAAAGAUGUAAGGGGAGUUGCAAAGUGGCCUGGAGAUUUGAAGCCCCACUUCAGAGCUUCUCUGUCACAGGGACCUUGCGGCUGCACAGGUAAAAAAAAAAAUAGCUUACAAAAUGGAGGUGAUCCUAGAAUCUUUGAGGUGAAAAGAAUCUUGAAGGUUUUUUAUCCUAUCUUCCUCAUUUUAAAGCAAAGAAGCACAAAAUGUACACAACCAGUGACAAGCCAGAGCUGAAAACCAAAGUUUCUGACUCACGGUCCAGUGCUAUUUUCGGUAAACAACAUAGCAUCUCUAGCCUGGUUACCCAGUGUCUUGACACGUUGGGUUAGUUGUUUGAUGCCUCAUGUCUUAAGAUAUCUCUGUUGACUGAAGUCAGCUUGUUUGACAAAUGCAAAAUAUAUUCUCACACAUCUUCAGGAUUUCAGGCGUUUCCACUACUUGAAAAUUCAUUUUCUUUUUCAUUCUUAGGCAGGUGUCAUGUCAUGUGUGUGGUAGGCAUGGAAAGCUGCUGCUGCAGAGUAAACGCUCUACCAUGCCGGCCGGUCCAGCCAAAAAAAAAAAAAAAAAAAA
rnacentral:lncRNA from 1 species